CUCCUCUUCUAAUAUCCCUCACCCCAUCUCCUUGCUUUUUUUUAGGCAGUUUGUUGAUUAGUGAAGUAGUCAACCUCCUGGACCAGUCUUCUCUGCAAGCACUAAAGAAAGAGUGUGGCGGUCUCCAGACUCUACUGAAAAACAACUACCAGGUGUUCAGAGUGGAGGGUGGAAGUGUCUUUAUUCGGGACUGGAGGGUGCAUACACCGGCACAAAGCUCUCGAGUGAGAUCCAAGCGCAAACCCCCUCCCACA